CUUAAACCCUGAACCCUUGCCGGCGGGACGGUAACAGAUCGGAUCCUGCUCCUCGUUUCUCCCGUUUCCGGCGGCCAUCAGUUUCCGGAGAAGAACAAAGGUAUAUAUAGGGAUCAUUGUCAAGUUCAGUUGAAAUGGCUUCAGCUUGUGGAAGAUUCGUGCGCAGAGCUUCAGCGCCGCUGAAUUCCGCCAUCAGAUCUAAUCUGCGUCCUGCUUCGACCAGCAGAUCCGCCGCCUCCGCUCUCCCUUCCAAAUCUACUUCCGCUUCUGGGCGGUCCUUCUCCGUCCUCAGAGUCCGGCAUGAGCUGGGGUGCGUGCAAUCUCUCUUGCCGCUCCAUAGUGCGGUGGCCGCGGCGAGGAUGACGUCCUGCCUGAGCACGACGUCGAGGAGCUGCCGGGCGCUCUCACAGGGUACUCUCUGCUGCACCUCUCCAGGCCUCUAGUGCCGUUUUGUGUGUUUGCCUAUGGAGUCGAUGGUACGUGAGAGGUGUGCUGAUUCUGGAGAGCUCGGUCUGUCCGUUCCAAGGUGACUUUGUUUGCAGACUUCAUGACGAAAAGGACUGAUGAAAUCGACGAUCUCUUGGGCGGGUGAAUUCGUUCAUAAGUUUUAAGAGUGGCAAUUGUUUUGAUUAGACUACUGUGAAGAAGAUCUAUGUAUCUUCCAAUUUUAUAGGAUGUCUCUAAUGCCAAUAAGUUUCCAGGGCCCUUGUGUUCCAUUUUUUCUUUUGCCUGGUCAAUUUAGCUUUUCUGAUGGUUAGUAACUCGACAGUGUAUGCCAUCUUUGCAUCCUGGAACCCGAGUAAAGAACGGUACAGUUCCUCGAAAUACGUAGCUGACCUCGACCAUUAUGUCGAGCUAGUAGUUGCACAUCCACGGGACAUGUAACUUGGUAAUGUUCAUUGGUGAUUGUCUUUGAUUAUA